AGAGUGUGUUGGAGGUUGGCCACUUGUUAUUCAUCUGUGAAUUAAUGGAAAUAUUUUACAAUGUUGUUUAUGCACAAACACAAAACUAUGAAAUUUAAUUUCAUAGUUAAUUGGGGAAGCUAUUCAGUCUCCUUGCAGCAAACAUCUUGCCAUAUUAUGCUUUCAGAGCUUUUAUUGUAAUUCCUAUAUUACAUACAUUUGUUUUUCUUCUCUCCUCAGAAAUUUUUCCAAGAGAUUCCAGUCUAAAAGACAAAUUCAUAAAACAUUUUACAGGGCCAGUCACAUUUUCAUCAGAGUGUAGCAAGCACUUUCAUCGACUGUAUCACAACACAAGGGACUGCUCAACGCCAGCUUAUUAUAAAAGGUGUGCAAGGUUGCUAACAAGAUUAGCAAUGAGCCCUUUGUGUACACAGUCCUAGGAUGUUUGCUAUACUUUCUACUAUGGAGAGAACUCUGAUUUGCCAAGAAAGUGCCUUGAAAUCUUCCAAGACAGAGAAGACAUCUUUUAACUUUUUUGAUUUACAACGUUUUGUUACUAGAUGCAUUUUAUUUUCAUAUAUUUGUUGGACAUUCCAUAUUUGUGUGAAACAUUAUUUUAUUUUAAUUUGUAAAUUUGUUGCCUAUAGUUCAGACAAGCCAAUUAUUUAAAUACAUUGUAUAUAAAGAAUACUAAUGAUAUACUGAUUAAAUGUUAUAGCCGUAUGCAGGGAGUUGGUAAAGUUUUGCUGUUUCUCUUGUUCCAUUGUAUUUACAUCAUUCUGCUCAGGCUCUUACUUUCAUUAUUUGCACUAACUUGAAAUGCAGAAGUCUAUGUAACUGAAAUCUGAAUAAGCUGUAAGUGGGAAAGUUUUACUUGCCAUGGAAGAUAUUUUAUAUUAUGAAGCUUUGUUAAUAUAUACAUAUAUAUUAUUGCGCAUCAGAAAAAAAAUUGCUCAAAAAUGCACCUUGCUUUCAGGAACAUUUGUAUGACUAUUCUGGAUUUUCAUCAGUUACAUUUGUACUGGCACUUAUGGAAAGAGUUGCAAAUAAUGUAAAUAUAAAGACUGGAAAACUGCAAUGCAGUUUUGGUGGAAUAAAGAACAUAAAAAUAAACUAUUUUCCA
rnacentral:lncRNA from 1 species